GGUGAAACAGCCUCUGUCUCAGGUUGGGAGUUGCUGCCAUGGAGACCACAAGAGUGGAGAUUUUCUGACACACAGAAAGGAAUGGAUUACAGCUCCUUCUUAUGUAAAUUUCCAUGGAGGGGAAAAAAGAUUAAAAGGAAAAUAAUUCUGCUUUAGUCGUUUUCCUUUAAGGUGAUAAGAUCCUUUGAUUCCAUCGUGGAGAAGAAGGCAACAGCUGUUUGUCACAAAUGAUGGGAAAUGUGCCAACGUCACAACAAGGUUUGAGGGAGGCACAUCUCAUGCUCGGACAUGAACACCCGAUCAUCAUGCUUAUGAACUACAAAAGGAUCUCCAGUAUGGGCUCACGGCAGUUGGCCCUUGAAUAACAUGAAUUUGAACUGCCUGAGUCUGCUAAUAUGUGGAUUAUCUUCUGCUUCUGCACCCUGAGACAGCAAGACCAACCCUUCCUCUUGCUUCUUUUCCUUAGCCUAUUCAACGUGAAGAUGACUAAGAGAAGCCCAGGUUAUUUGCACCCAGUGAUGCUAAUUCAGCUUGGCUGCCUCAGCAGGAUAAAAUAAAUCGACCAAUCUACUUUUUGGAAGCAGAAGGUGGGAAAGUGGCUACUCCCUGAGCUGACUGUGCACCAAGGGACAGAUCCUUGUUUUAUAUAAAUUGACUAUGAAAAUUCCCCUAGACGAACACAGGAGGGAAAUCUGGCACAAGCCCCAGAGCAGGAUAAAGACGUUUGAAAAUCCUUUCAGAAAUCAUAACUUAGAUGCCUCUUCCAUCUGCACCAUUUCUGCCUGUUGUCUGCAAGAAAUAUGAUCCUCUGUCUCACAGGUUCUCAAUGUACAGGACAAACUCUGGAAUGAUAUGCAGAGUAGAAGGUGCUGCUGCUUUUCACAGUGGACAAUUCAAAACCUCAUGGGCCCCUCUCUGAUUAGACUCUCAGAGGCUGAGAGCCCUGUGGUAAGAAGCCUAGUGAGAGAUGUUUCUAUCAAUGGCUCUCCCUUGUCCCAUCUUCCUUCAGGGGAAUCUCUGUGUACUAUGAACACAGAAAGCUUCGGCCAACACAGUAAAAAAGGGAGGGACUAAGGGAGAUGGCAUGAUUUUUAAAAAUUAAAAUGAGAUUAUGACACUGUGGUAUUCAUUAAGGCCAUUCAUAUUUUGGCUCUAUUCUGGGCCCAUGCUAAGACUGUACUUUUUGACCUCAUUAAUAUUAGGCUGUAUGACUUGCUGUGGUCAAUGAACUGUGAGUGAAAGUGAAAUGUAUCAGUUCUGGGAGGAAAUGUUAACAGCCAGUGUGAUUUGCCAUGUUCUUUUCCCCUUUGUCACAAUGAUAGGCAACAUUUGAGAUGGUAGUUGAUUCUUUAGCUGGGGUGUGACGGUUAAUUUUAUGUCAACUUGGCUAGGCUAUUGGGUCCAGUUGUUUGGUCAAGAACCAGUCCAGAUGUUGCUGUGAAGGUACUUUUAGAUAAGAUUAACAUUUAAAUCAGUAAAAUUUGAGCAGGCGAUACUCCAUAACGUGGAUAGGCCUCAUCUAAUCAGUUGAAGGCUUUAAGAACAAAGACCAAAGUUUCCCAAAGAGAAAAAAAUUCUUAUCAAGACUGCAAGAUAGAAUCCCUGCAUGAAUUUCCAGCCUGCUGGUGUGUCCUACAGAUUUGAGACUUCUCAGCUUCACAACCAUGUGAACCAAUUCCUUAAAAUAAAUCUCUUUCCAUGUAUAUACCCCAUGAGUUCUGUUUCCCUGGCUGACACACUAGGUGAGGAUGCACAGGAGCCAAGCACCCUCCCAACUCAGAAUGAAAAUGUAGUGUGAGCAAGAAAUAAACAUUUGUUGUUAAAAGCCA
ensembl:lncRNA LINC01151 long intergenic non-protein coding RNA 1151